GGCUUGAUUUCAUCGGAAAAUCGACUGGAUUGCAAAUCCGUGAAGACCGGUUCGAUUCCGGUACCCGCCUCCA
rnacentral:tRNA from 1 species